rnacentral:lncRNA from 1 species
UGUUGUAAUUGUUUAGAUUGCUGUGUACGGUUUGCUGUUUGUUGAAUCAACAGUGUGAAAAACCUGCCAGCAUGGAUUGAUAUACGCAUGACGUUGUCCCCUCAACUGGGGGCUUUGCAGUUCUAACUCUCUUGAUGUAACCAGUCACCCCCAUGUAUAAGUGGAAGCUGCUUGCUAGAAUGGAGACGAGUCUCAUUUGUUAAUUCACAAUGGUUAAGCAUUCUCCUUCUGAUUCUAGUCAGAUCAUGAUUUUUUUUUCUUUGAAAUGCAAAACAAAACACCAAAAAGCCACCAUUCAAAACAAAAUCGAGAACUGUCGGAGUUAAUUUAACUGAUGAUUAAAUCCGUUCUAACUUCUUGUAGGUUCUCCCAUCCACUUCCUCAAAGUGCUGAAUUUCCUCUAAAUUCCCUGGCAUGUAUGAGAAAAACAU